rfam:Schistosoma curassoni strain Dakar, Senegal genome assembly, scaffold: SCTD_scaffold0003801
GCACUGCUGAGGAGUCCCAUACCAGGACGAAACGGCCGUCCAGUGA